UGAGGAAUAUUGGUCAAUGGACGCAAGUCUGAACCAGCCAUGCCGCGUGCAGGAAGACGGCUCUAUGAGUUGUAAACUGCUUUUGUACGAGGGUAAACUCACCUACGUGUAGGUGACUGAAAGUAUCGUACGAAUAAGGAUCGGCUAACUCCGUGCCAGCAGCCGCGGUAAUACGGAGGAUUCAAGCGUUAUCCGGAUUUAUUGGGUUUAAAGGGUGCGUAGGCGGUUUGAUAAGUUAGAGGUGAAAUCCCGGGGCUUAACUCCGGAACUGCCUCUAAUACUGUUAGACUAGAGAGUAGUUGCGGUAGGCGGAAUGUAUGGUGUAGCGGUGAAAUGCUUAGAGAUCAUACAGAACACCGAUUGCGAAGGCAGCUUACCAAACUAUAUCUGACGUUGAGGCACGAAAGCGUGGGGAGCAAACAGGAUUAGAUACCCUGGUAGUCCACGCAGUAAACGAUGAUAACUCGUUGUCGGCGAUACACAGUCGGUGACUAAGCGAAAGCGAUAAGUUAUCCACCUGGGGAGUACGUUCGCAAGAAUGAAACUCAAAGGAAUUGACGGGGGCCCGCACAAGCGGAGGAACAUGUGGUUUAAUUCGAUGAUACGCGAGGAACCUUACCCGGGCUUGAAUUGCAACUGAAUGAUGUGGAGACAUGUCAGCCGCAAGGCAGUUGUGAAGGUGCUGCAUGGUUGUCGUCAGCUCGUGCCGUGAGGUGUCGGCUUAAGUGCCAUAACGAGCGCAACCCUUAUCGAUAGUUACCAUCAGGUUAUGCUGGGGACUCUGUCGAGACUGCCGUCGUAAGAUGUGAGGAAGGUGGGGAUGACGUCAAAUCAGCACGGCCCUUACGUCCGGGGCUACACACGUGUUACAAUGGGGGGUACAGAAGGCAGCUACACGGCGACGUGAUGCUAAUCCCUAAAGCCUCUCUCAGUUCGGAUUGGAGUCUGCAACCCGACUCCAUGAAGCUGGAUUCGCUAGUAAUCGCGCAUCAGCCACGGCGCGGUGAAUACGUUCCC
rnacentral:rRNA from 1 species